rnacentral:rRNA from 1 species
CGUGUAGGCGGUCAGGUAAGUGGAAUGUGAAAGCCCUCGGCUCACCCGAGGAUCUGCAUUCCAAACUGCCUGGCUUGAGUAUGGGAGAGGAUGAGGGAAUUCCUGGUGUAGCGGUGAAAUGCGUAGAUAUCAGGAGGAACACCGGUGGCGAAGGCGCUCAUCUGGCCCAAUACUGACGCUGAGGCGCGAAAGCUAGGGGAGCAAACG